UACGAAGGGGGCUAGCGUUGCUCGGAAUCACUGGGCGUAAAGGGUGCGUAGGCGGGUCUUUUAAGUCAGGGGUGAAAUCCUGGAGCUCAACUCCAGAACUGCCUUUGAUACUGAAGAUCUUGAGUUCGGGAGAGGUGAGUGGAACUGCGAGUGUAGAGGUGAAAUUCGUAGAUAUUCGCAAGAACACCAGUGGCGAAGGCGGCUCACUGGCCCGAUACUGACGCUGAGGCGCGAAAGCUAGGGGAGCAAACGGGG
rnacentral:rRNA from 1 species